rnacentral:sRNA from 1 species
UGCAUUCUGCAAGCCACCCUGGGGUGCAGCUGAGCUGGACAUGGGACCGCGAGACGCCCAGCUCCUGGCAGCACUCCUCGUCUUGGGGCUAUGUGCCCUGGCGGGGGGUGAGAAACCCUGACGAACUGCGGCUUCCCUGGAAUCACCAGCGACCAGUGUUUUGACAAUGGAUGCUGUUUCGACUCCAGUGUCACUGGGGUCCCCUGGUGUUUCCACCCCCUCCCAAAGCAAGAGUCGGAUCAGUGUGUCAUGGAGGUCUCAGACCGAAGAAACUGUGGCUACCCGGGCAUCAGCCCCGAGGAAUGCGCCUCUCGGAAGUGCUGCUUCUCCAACUUCAUCUUUGAAGUGCCCUGGUGCUUCUUCCCGAAGUCUGUGGAAGACUGCCAUUACUAAGAGAGGCUGGUUCCAGAGGAUGCAUCUGGCUCACCGGGUGUUCCGAAACCAAAGAAGAAACUUCGCCUUCUUAUCAGCUUCAUAUUUCAUGAAAUCCUGGGUUUUCUUAAUCAUCUUUUCAUCAUUUUCAAUGGUUUAACAUAUAAUUUCUUUAAAUAAAAC